rnacentral:rRNA from 1 species
GACGAACUCUGGCGGCGUGCUUACACAUGCAAGUCGAACGGUAAGGCUCCAGCUUGCUGGGGUACACGAGUGGCGAACGGGUGAGUAACACGUGGGUGACCUGCCCUGCACUUCGGGAUAAGCCUGGGAAACUGGGUCUAAUACCGGACAGGACCGCACCGUGAGGGUGUGGUGGAAAGUUUUUUCGGUGUGGGAUGGGCCCGCGGCCUAUCAGCUUGUUGGUGGGGUAAUGGCCUACCAAGGCGGCGACGGGUAGCCGGCCUGAGAGGGUGGACGGCCACAUUGGGACUGAGACACGGCCCAGACUCCUACGGGAGGCAGCAGUGGGGAAUAUUGCACAAUGGGCGGAAGCCUGAUGCAGCGACGCCGCGUGGGGGAUGACGGCCUUCGGGUUGUAAACUCCUUUCACCAUCGACGAAGGGUUUCUGACGGUAGAUGGAGAAGAAGCACCGGCUAACUACGUGCCAGCAGCCGCGGUAAUACGUAGGGUGCGAGCGUUGUCCGGAAUUACUGGGCGUAAAGAGCUCGUAGGUGGUUUGUCGCGUCGUCUGUGAAAUUCCGGGGCUUAACUCCGGGCGUGCAGGCGAUACGGGCAUAACUUGAGUACUGUAGGGGAGACUGGAAUUCCUGGUGUAGCGGUGAAAUGCGCAGAUAUCAGGAGGAACACCGGUGGCGAAGGCGGGUCUCUGGGCAGUAACUGACGCUGAGGAGCGAAAGCAUGGGGAGCGAACAGGAUUAGAUACCCUGGUAGUCCAUGCCGUAAACGGUGGGCGCUAGGUGUGGGUUUCCUUCCACGGGAUCCGUGCCGUAGCUAACGCAUUAAGCGCCCCGCCUGGGGAGUACGGCCGCAAGGCUAAAACUCAAAGGAAUUGACGGGGGCCCGCACAAGCGGCGGAGCAUGUGGAUUAAUUCGAUGCAACGCGAAGAACCUUACCUGGGCUUGACAUAUACAGGAUCGCGCCAGAGAUGGUGUUUCCCUUGUGGCUUGUAUACAGGUGGUGCAUGGUUGUCGUCAGCUCGUGUCGUGAGAUGUUGGGUUAAGUCCCGCAACGAGCGCAACCCUUGUCUUAUGUUGCCAGCACGUUGUGGUGGGGACUCGUAAGAAACUGCCGGGGUUAACUCGGAGGAAGGUGGGGAUGACGUCAAAUCAUCAUGCCCCUUAUGUCCAGGGCUUCACACAUGCUACAAUGGUCGGUACAGUGGGUUGCCAGUCCGUGAGGGCGAGCUAAUCCCGCAAAGCCGGUCUCAGUUCGGAUCGGGGUCUGCAACUCGACCCCGUGAAGUCGGAGUCGCUAGUAAUCGCAGAUCAGCAACGCUGCGGUGAAUACGUUCCCGGGCC